UUUUUUGUAAUUAAGUCAAGUAUUGGAGCACAUCCAAAACAAAAAAAACGAAGAGUAGAGGAAAAUAUCAGUUUAUUUGGAUAAGAAAGCAGAUCUGUUAAACUAAUUUACUUUUAAGAUCAAAUCUGUCUUUGUACUGAAAUAUGGAGGAAAGUAUAGAAAAGGCAUUGGAAAGUUUGACAUUAGAUAGCUCAGAUACAGCAACAGGAAGAAUAGCAGACCGUA